rnacentral:lncRNA from 1 species
GGCUAAGGAGAUUAGUUUUGUAUAUAUUUUCAAUAUCUAAUAUAUAUAGGGCAUCAAAUACUCUGCUUAAACACACAUCUAGAUUCACAUCGAAUCACUUAGAACAAUAUGUCAUUCAAAAUAAAAUCAUGUAUGUACUAAUUAACAAUAAUGUUCCAAAGUUUAAUGCUACGAGAAUAUUUGUAUACAAUAUAUAUAAAUAUAAGUCCUAGAUUACAAAUAAUAAUCAUGGGGUCUUGCAUGCUCCACGAACAGUAGCUAGUAAAGGUACGGUCGUUUUCCAUCAAUAACUUAGGAACCUCGGAAUCAAUCGUUUAAAGUCCACUUUAGUCUUUAAAUAGCCACAGAUUCAUUCUCAUAACUCUUAAAUCAUCAUUUUUAUAAACCUUUCAUAUAAUACAUAUAUUACACAAUCAAAGACUUUUAAACCUAAGUAAACAAAAACAU